GAUGAACGCUGGCGGCGUGCCUAACACAUGCAAGUCGAGCGAUUUACUUCGGUAAAGAGCGGCGGACGGGUGAGUAACGCGUGGGUAACCUGCCUCAAACACAUGGAUAACAUACCGAAAGGUAUGCUAAUACAAGAAGAUAUAAGAGAUUCGCAUGGAUUUCUUAUCAAAGCUCCGGCGGUAUGAGAUGGACCCGCGUCUGAUUAGCUAGUUGGUAAGGUAACGGCUUACCAAGGCGACGAUCAGUAGCCGACCUGAGAGGGUGAUCGGCCACAUUGGAACUGAGACACGGUCCAAACUCCUACGGGAGGCAGCAGUGGGGAAUAUUGCACAAUGGGCGAAAGCCUGAUGCAGCAACGCCGCGUGAGCGAUGAAGGCCUUCGGGUCGUAAAGCUCUGUCCUCAAGGAAGAUAAUGACGGUACUUGAGGAGGAAGCCCCGGCUAACUACGUGCCAGCCGCCGCGGUAAAAC
rnacentral:rRNA from 1 species